GACGAACGCUGGCGGCGUGCUUAAUACAUGCAAGUCGAACGGAAAGGCCCUGCGCUUGCGCGGUUCACGAGAGGCGCAAGGGUGUGUAACACGCGUGGAACCCGCCCUUGACUGUGGGGUAACUCCAGGAAACUGGGGCUAUAACCCGGUAGGAGCUCCUGCACCGCGGUGUGGGUUGGAAAGUUUGGGCGGUAGGUGAUGGACUCGCGGCUUAUCGCCUUGUUGGGGGGGUAGUGGCUUACCACGGCUUUGCGGGGUAGCCGUCCUUAGCGGUGGAACGGCCCCAUUGGUACUGCGAGACGCACCAGACGCCUACGUGAGGCAGCAGUGGGGAGUAUUGCGCAGUGGGCGGGAGCCUGAUGCAGCGACGCCGCGUGCGGGAUGACGGCUUUCGAGUUAUAAACCACUUUCGCCUGUGACGAAGCGUGAGUGACGGUAAUGAGUAAAGAAGCACCGGCUAACUACGUG
rnacentral:rRNA from 1 species